CCUACGGGGGGCAGCAGUCGAGAAUCAUUCACAAUGGGGGAAACCCUGAUGGUGCGACGCCGCGUGGGGGAAUGAAGGUCUUCGGAUUGUAAACCCCUGUCAUGUGGGAGCAAAUUAAAAAGAUAGUACCACAAGAGGAAGAGACGGCUAACUCUGUGCCAGCAGCCGCGGUAAUACAGAGGUCUCAAGCGUUGUUCGGAAUCACUGAGCGUAAAGCGUGCGUAGGCUGUUUCGUAAGUCGUGUGUGAAAGGCGAGGGCUCAACCCGCGGACGGCACAUGAUACUGCGAGACUAGAGUAAUGGAGGGGGAACCGGAAUUCUCGGUGUAGCAGUGAAAUGCGUAGAUAUCGAGAGGAACACUCGUGGCGAAGGCGGGUUCCUGGACAUUAACUGACGCUGAGGCACGAAGGCCAGGGGAGCGAAAGGGAUUAGAUACCCUUGUAGUC
rnacentral:rRNA from 1 species